GUUGAGAGAUAUGAAGGAGGCUACUAGUCAUGUGAUCAAAUAAGUAUAGGUAAUAUUGAAAAAAUACCCAUAAAUCUGUGAACGCUUUCUUAUCCCCUUUUUGUCUCCUUUUGUGUUUUAGCACCUUCUGAGCGGUACUUUGAGGCCCUUGAAGUGAUUAUCACUUAGACCAUUGCCUUGGACACUUUCUUGAAAGGGCCAGCGUGCAUCCACUUGGCUCAGCUCUGUCCCAGAUUGAUGGAGCUCUUGUAGAGGGAACUGCACUUGACUCAAGAAGACUGGUUGUCCAUCUCCACCACCCUGACCUGUGGCAGGCGCUAAGCUCAUG
rnacentral:lncRNA from 1 species